rnacentral:tRNA from 1 species
AAAGGUAUAGCUUGGUUGUAGAGUGUGUGCUUAGCAUGCACAAUGUCCUGGGUUCAAUCCCCAGUACCUCCA